CGAAAUGAUGAUUAUUCUCUUGGAAUCUCGUUCGUCUGAACCUUCUGCUGAGAAUUCAUUUUGCUGACUGUU
rnacentral:snoRNA from 1 species